rnacentral:lncRNA from 1 species
AGAGAUUCACUAAGAACAACUUCUUUGUUGAGAAGAAUCCAACUAUUGUCAAUUUCCCUAUUACAAAUGUGGAUCUGAGAGAAUACUUGUCUGAAGAAGUACAAGCAGUACACAAGAAUACCACCUAUGACCUCAUUGCCAACAUCGUGCAUGACGGCAAGCCCUCCGAGGGCUCCUACCGGAUCCACGUGCUUCAUCAUUUAAUUGAGAUGGGGUUGUGCUAUGAUGCUCAUGCUGGUCUCAAGCAAUCCUCCCGCCUCAGCUUCUGAAACUGCUGGGAUUACAGGGGACAGGCAAAUGGUAUGAAUUACAAGACCUCCAGGUGACUGACAUCCUUCCCCAGAUGAUCACACUGUCAGAGGCUUACAUUCAGAUUUGGAAGAGGCGAGAUAAUGAUGAAACCAACCAGCAGGGGGCUUGAAGGAGGCGUCUAGGGCUUUGCUCCCAAGGGCUGUGGCUGAUGAUGAUUGAUGCUCCUUUCUCCCAUGCAUUGAGCUCCCAUCUAGCUUCAGCAGGGCAGAACCCUUCUCCAGAUGUGUGUAACUUAUGUCUUGAGUAUCUGGGAGUAGUUGAAGAACAGAUAAUUCCUUCCAAACAUCAAGCCUUGGGAUUCUUGGAGCAAGCAGAAAGCCAGUAACUUCGCUCUGUUAGAGGUGGAGGAUUUUCCUAUGGUUCCCCCCAUUUCCUGAUUUGUAUUUUUAGAUGGAUUAAAUAGUCUCCUGUUUUU